rnacentral:rRNA from 1 species
AGUGAACGCUGGCGGUAGGCCUAACACAUGCAAGUCGAACGGCAGCACAGUAAGAGCUUGCUCUUACGUGUGGCGAGUGGCGGACGGGUGAGGCAUACAUCGGAAUCUACUUUUUCGUGGGGGAUAACGUAGGGAAACUUACGCUAAUACCGCAUACGACCUACGGGUGAAAGCAGUGGAUAUUCGGACCUUGCGCGAUAGAAUAGGCAGAUGUCGGAUUAGCUAGUUGGCGAGGUAAAGGCCCACCAAGGCGACGAUCGGUAGCUGGACUGAGAGGGUGAUGCACGACAGUGGUACUGAGACACGGACCAGACACAUACGGGAGGCAGCAGUGAGGAAGAUUGGUCAGUGGGCGCGAGCCUGAACCAGCCAAGUCGCGUGAAGGAUGACUGUCUUAUGGAUGGUAAACUUCUUUUAGACGGGAAUAACAAGAGUCACGGGUGACUCCCUGAAUGUACCGGAUGAAUAAGCAUCGGCUAACUCCGUG